AUAUCAAUAAGCGGAGGAAAAGAAACUAACAAGGAUUCCUCUAGUAACUGCGAGUGAAGCGGGAAAAGCUCAAAUUUAAAAUCUGGUAGUCUUUGGCUGCCCGAGUUGUAAUCUAGAGAAGUGUUACCCGUGCUGGACCGUGUACAAGUCUCCUGGAAUGGAGCGUCAUAGAGGGUGAGAAUCCCGUCUUUGACACGGACUCCCAGUGCUUUUGUGGUGCGCUCUCAACGAGUCGAGUUGUUUGGGAAUGCAGCUCAAAAUGGGUGGUGAAUUCCAUCUAAAGCUAAAUAUUGGCGAGAGACCGAUAGCGAACAAGUACCGUGAGGGAAAGAUGAAAAGAACUUUGGAAAGAGAGUUAAACAGUACGUGAAAUUGUUGAAAGGGAAACGCUUGAAGUCAGUCGCGUUGUCCGGAAAUCAACCUUGGUUCUCCUGGGUGUACUUUCCGGUUAACGGGCCAGCAUCAGUUUCGAUCGGUGGAAAAAGUCCAAGGGAAUGUGGCAUCUUCGGAUGUGUUAUAGCCCUUGGUCGUAUGCACCGGUUGGGACUGAGGAAUUCAGCACGCCGCAAGGCCGGGGUUCGCCCACGUACGUGCUUAGGAUGCUGGCAUAAUGGCUUUAAUCGA
rnacentral:rRNA from 1 species